AUUAUAUAUUGCUAUUGUGCCUAAAAUUUGAAGUUAAAUUCCACUUCCAUGAAUUGCAUCCGAUGCAUUAUUAAUUGUUUUGUCAAUACCAUCGCCAUGUUUGAUAACCAGAUGUUACAGCAAUAGUAGAGCAAAGUCUUAGUACUUCUUAAUUCAGUAGUGGUUGCUGGUAAACAAAAGGCCUAAUUGCAUAAAAAAUCUUGAACUUGGUUUUUUUCAAUUCUAUUAGGAAGUUCUAAUUUUAGCAAUUUGGUGUUUCAAUUUUGAAUUUUUCAAUUGUAUCGUAGAAUUAUUUUUGAGUUAAAUUUCUUCCAUUUCUGACAAAAGUAGUGGGAGGUACCCCUAAGUGCAUCACAACUGCAACUUUUAUUUGAGAUUGAUGGGGACAGGAUGGAAUCUUAAAAAGAGUUAAUUUGACCAAACGAUUGCUCCGUUGCGCAUGACCAACACCAAUGAACUCUUGACAAUGAUACGGUUUUAGUGAUAUGAUCAAUUGACGUGGAUAAUAAAAUUAACUCUUAAUAAUUUAACUGGAAUAACUUUAACUGAAAAAAAUUGAAAAAUUGAAAUGCCUAAUUGCUAUAAUUAAAAUUUCAUGAUAGAAUUGGAAAAUUGCCUAAAUUAAAUAUUUUUAUUUUUUAUUUCGAUUUUUUUUUUGCAAUUAGU
rnacentral:misc_RNA from 1 species